CGUCCCGGCGCGGCCCGCACGUCUGGGCGCGGCCGGCGCGACUCCGUGCGGCCCCGCCUCCGGCUCCGGUUCCGGCUCCGGCUGCGAGAGGGAGGGCGGAGGCCCUCGGCGAAGGGAUGGGCGGCGCUGACCGACUGCCAUCUUGGGACUUGCGGUCCAGUCGAGCAUAAGUUGACACAACUGGUUCCUGAGCAGAAGGGAAGAUGAGGCUUGGAGAAGAAAGAAGGGCUAGGGAGAAAUACGUAUGUGGGCCUCUCACUGUUGUGGCCUCUCCCGCCACGGAGCACAGGCUCCGGACACGCAGGCCCAGUGGCCAUGGCUCACGGGCCCAGCUGCUCUUCAGCACGUGGGAUCCUCCCAGACUGGGGCAUGAACCUGCAUCCCCUGCAUCAGCAGGCAGACUCUCAACCACUGCGCCACCAGGAAAGCCCUAUUGUAGAUUUUUGUUUGCAGUUACCAUGAGAUUUCAAUAUAGCAGUUUAUAUGUAUAAAAACAAAUAAGAUUGUUUUAAGUGGCUGGUCUUUUAUUUUCAAAUGCAUUUCCAAUAUCCUGCAUUUGACUCUCCUCUGCUCACAAUUGCUGGUUUUGAUAUCAUAUUUGUGUGUGUAUGAUUUCCUACCUUUAAUGUGUGUUUGCCUUUACCAGUGAACUUUUCUAUUUGUAAUUUUCUUGUGUCUAGUUGUGGCCUUUCCUUUUCCACCUAGAGAAGUUCCUUUAGUAUUUGUUACAGAGCUGGUUUGGUGGUGCUGAAUUCUCUUAGCUUUUGUUCAUCUGUAAAACUUCUGAUUUCUCCAUCAAAUCUGAAUGAGAGCCUUGCUGGGUAGAGUAUUUUUGGUUGUAGGUUCUUCCCUUUUAUCUUCCCUGUAAAUAUAUCAUACCACUUUAUUCUGGCCUGCAGAGUUUCUGCUGAAAAUCAGCUGAUAACCUUAUGGGAGUUCCCUUGUAUGUUACUUGUUGCUUUUUCUUGAUGCUUUUAAUAUUUAUUUUUUGUCUAUGUGUUUUGGCAUGUUCCUCCUUGCAUUUAUCCUACCUGAGACUGUGCACUUCCUAGACUUGGGUGACUGUUUCCUUUCCCACGUUAGGGACGUUUUCAGCUAUUAUCUCUUCAUAUAUUUUCUAAGGUCCUUUCUCUCCCUCUUCUCCUUCUGGGACCUCUAUAAUGCAAAUGUUAUGCAUUUAGUGUUGUCCCAGAGGUCUCUUAGACUGUCCUUAUUUCUUUUCUUUCUUUUUUCAUUAUUCUGUUCUGCAGCAGUGAUUUCCACCAUUCUGUCUUCCAGCUCACUUAUUGGUUCUUCUGCCUCAUUUAUUCUGCCAUUGACUCCUUCUAGUGUAUUUUUCAUUUCAGUUAUUGUAUUGUUCAUCUCUGUUUGUUUGUUUUUUAGAUCUUCUAGCACUUUGUUAAACAUUUCUUGUAUCUUCUUGGUCUGUGUCUCCAUUAUUUUUUGAGAUGUUGGAUCAUCUUUACUAUCAUUCUGAAUUCUUUUUGGGGUAGAUUGCCUAUCUCCACUUCACUUAGUUGUUCUUUUGGGGUUUAUCUUGUUCUUUUUGUCUGGGACAUAUUCCUCUGCCAUCUCAUUUUGUCUAGCUGUCAGUGAUUGUGGUUUCCAUUCCACAGGUUGCAGGAUUAUAGUUCUUCUUGCUUCUGUUGUCUGCCCCCUGGUGGAUGAGGCUGGUCUUAGAGGCUUGUGCAGGCUUCCUGGUGGGAGGGACUGGUUCCUGCCCACUGGUGUGUGGAGCUGGGCUUGUCUCUCUGAUGGGCAGGGCCAUGUCAAGGGGUGUGUUUAGCAGGAAGCUGUGGGCUCAGGAAGAAUUCAGGCAGCCUAUUUGCUGAUUGGUGGGGCUGUGUUCCUGCCCUGUUGGUUGUUUGGCCUGAGGCGUCCCAGCACUGGAGCCUACAGGCUGUUGCGUGGGCCCAGGUCUUGGUGAGAAAAUGGUGGCCUCCAGGAGGGCUCACGCCAAGGAGUACUCUCCAGAACUAUUGCCACCAGUGUUUUUGUCCUCACCGUGAGCCACAACUGCUCCCCGCCUCUGCAGGAGACCCUCCGAUACCAGCAGGUGAUUCUGGCCCAGGCUCUUAUGAGGUCAUUGCUUUUUCUCCUGUAUCCCAGUGCACACAAAACUCCAAUAGUGGAGUUUCUGUUUCCCCCAGUCCUGUGGAAUUCCUGUGAUAAAACCCUGCUGGCCUUCAAAGCCAGAUGCUCUGGGGGCUCCUCCUUCCAAUGCCAGAC